CUGUCACAGCGUGCGGCGGCGCUGUGACAGUUUAUGUCCAUCAGGUACAUGUACCUGAUGUUGCGCGAAGUCACCGCUAAUCAUCAGGUUUAAGCGCGAUGAUAGAAACGAGGCCGGAUGAAGCGCAAUUAGCGUGAAACUUCACCAGCAGUUGCUUCGCCUCGGAGUGCCCUGCUACAGGUCUAACACCGGAUCGUCCGUACAAGCCGAAGGAGUCUAGCUACAGCAGCUUAGCGAGAGAAGAAUGGUGUAUACGGACAGGUGGCUGAAAUAACCACAAGAACUCUAAAAAAAAAAUCUUUUUUUUUCUUUUU